ACUCCUACGGGAGGCAGCAGUGGUGAAUCUUCCGCAAUGGACGAAAGUCUGACGGAGCAACGCCGCGUGAGCGAUGACGGCCUUCGGGUUGUAAAGCUCUACAUCGGGGACGAAUGGACGGUAUGCUAAUACCAUAUCAGAGGACGACCCGA
rnacentral:rRNA from 1 species